CGAGUUAGCCAGGCAAUCGCUGGUUUAUUGAAGCCCUCAACCGUUGCAAAACAACCUAGGGGACAAGUGAACGAGAGGAAAGUCCGAGCUACACAGGGCAGGGUGCUGGAUAACGUCCAGGAGGCGCGAGCCUACGACCAGUGCAACAGAGAGCAGACCGCCGAUGGCUCAUUUGAGAUCAGGUAAGGGUGAAAGGGUGCGGUAAGAGCGCACCGCGUGAUUGGUAACAAUUCAUGGCAUGGUAAACUCCACCCGUAGCAAGACCAAAUAGGAAUCCAAUGUGUGGCCCGCGCAGGAUUCGGGUAGGUUGCUUGAGCAUUUGUGCAAAUGAAUGCCUAGAUGAAUGAUUGUCCACGACAGAACUCGGCUUAUCGGCUAACUCAUUUU
rnacentral:RNase_P_RNA from 1 species